rnacentral:rRNA from 1 species
UACGUAGGGUGCGAGCGUUAAUCGGAAUUACUGGGCGUAAAGCGUGCGCAGGCGGUUUUGUAAGCCAGAUGUGAAAUCCCCGGGCUUAACCUGGGAAUGGCAUUUGGGACUGCAAGGCUUGAGUGCGGCAGAGGAGACUGGAAUUCCUGGUGUAGCAGUGAAAUGCGUAGAUAUCCGGAGGAACACCGGUGGCGAAGGCGGCUUCCUGGACCGACACUGACGCUGAGGCGCGAAAGCUAGGGGAGCAAACGGG